rnacentral:rRNA from 1 species
GAUGAACGCUAGCUACAGGCUUAACACAUGCAAGUCGAGGGGUAACGAGAGGAAAGCUUGCUUUCCUUGUCGACGACCGGCGCACGGGUGAGUAACGCGUAUCCAACCUGCCCCCAACUAAGGAAUAACCUUGCGAAAGUAAGACUAAUACCUUAUAAUUCCCUCAGAUGUCAUCUGACGAGGAAUAAAGAUUUAUCGGUUGUGGAUGGGGAUGCGUCUGAUUAGCUUGUUGGCGGGGUAACGGCUCACCAAGGCAACGAUCAGGAGGGGUUCUGAGAGGAAGGUCCCCCACAUUGGAACUGAGAAACGGUCCAAACUCCUACGGGAGGCAGCAGUGAGGAAUAUUGGUCAAUGGGCGAAAGCCUGAACCAGCCGAGUAGCGUGCAGGAUGACGGCCCUAUGGGUUGUAAACUGCUUUUAUACAGGAAUAAAGUUAGCCACGUGUGGUUAUUUGUAGGUACUGUAUGAAUAAGGACCGGCUAAUUCCGUGCCAGCCGCCGCUGUAA